AGUGAACGCUGGCGGUAGGCCUAACACAUGCAAGUCGAACGGCAGCACAGUAAGAGCUUGCUCUUACGGGUGGCGAGUGGCGGACGGGUGAGGAAUACAUCGGAAUCUACUUUUUCGUGGGGGAUAACGUAGGGAGACUUACGCUAAUACCGCAUACGACCUACGGGUGAAAGCAGGGGAUCUUCGGACCUUGCGCGAUUGAAUGAGCCGAUGUCGGAUUAGCUAGUUGGCGGGGUAAAGGCCCACCAAGGCGACGAUCCGUAGCUGGUCUGAGAGGAUGAUCAGCCACACUGGAACUGAGACACGGUCCAGACUCCUACGGGAGGCAGCAGUGGGGAAUUUUGGACAAUGGGCGCAAGCCUGAUCCAGCCAUACCGCGUGGGUGAAGAAGGCCUUCGGGUUGUAAAGCCCUUUUGUUGGGAAAGAAAAGCAGCAGGUUAAUACCCCGCUGUUCUGACGGUACCCAAAGAAUAAGCACCGGCUAACUUCGUG
rnacentral:rRNA from 1 species